rnacentral:rRNA from 1 species
GAUGAACGCUGGCGGCGUGCCUAAUACAUGCAAGUCGAGCGAACAGACGAGGAGCUCGCUCCUCUGACGUUAGCGGCGGACGGGUGAGUAACACGUGGAUAACCUACCUAUAAGACUGGGAUAACUUCGGGAAACCGGAGCUAAUACCGGAUAAUAUAUUGAACCGCAUGGUUCAAUAGUGAAAGACGGUUUUGCUGUCACUUAUAGAUGGAUCCGCGCCGCAUUAGCUAGUUGGUAAGGUAACGGCUUACCAAGGCAACGAUGCGUAGCCGACCUGAGAGGGUGAUCGGCCACACUGGAACUGAGACACGGUCCAGACUCCUACGGGAGGCAGCAGUAGGGAAUCUUCCGCAAUGGGCGAAAGCCUGACGGAGCAACGCCGCGUGAGUGAUGAAGGUCUUCGGAUCGUAAAACUCUGUUAUUAGGGAAGAACAAAUGUGUAAGUAACUAUGCACGUCUUGACGGUACCUAAUCAGAAAGCCACGGCUAACUACGUG